rnacentral:rRNA from 1 species
UACGUAGGGUGCAAGCGUUGUCCGGAAUCAUUGGGCGUAAAGCGCGCGUAGGCGGCCCGAUAAGUCCGCUGUAAAAGUCAACGGCUCAACUGUUGAAAGCCGGUGGAUACUGUCGGGCUAGAGUACGGAAGAGGCAAGUGGAAUUCCUGGUGUAGCGGUGGAAUGCGCAGAUAUCAGGAGGAACACCUAUAGCGAAGGCAGCUUGCUGGGACGUUACUGACGCUAAGGCGCGAAAAGCGUGGGGGAGCGAACAGG